rfam:Camelus ferus unplaced genomic scaffold scaffold955, whole genome shotgun sequence.
GGGUAUAUAGCUCAGUGGUAGAGUGUGUACUUAGCAUGCACGAGGUCCUGGGUUCAAUCCCCAGUGCCUCCG